AGCAGAAGAAAGACAAGAAGCAAAAGGUGAUCAACCAGAAGACACUAAUGAAGAAGAAGACCAACAACAAGAGCAAGAAGAACAACAAACAAACUAACAGCAACAAGUCAAUGAACAAGAACUGACAAACCAACAAGAAGAACUCCAAGAGAAAUCUGACAUAUUUCAUGCACAAGGUCAUGACCAACCACAAACACCAACCAAAGAGGACGACAAGGACAAGCUCAUAUCAGCCAUGAGAGCACAAAUGCAAGAUAUGGAACAAAAAUUCAUGGCUGAAUUGCGUAAA